AAAAUGGCAGAAUGAAAGAAUUAUGAGGGGAACUGGAAAGUAGGAAAGACAUGAACCAACACUGAAAAUGAGAGAAAAGGACAUAUAAGGAAAAAGACUAAUACUCAUGAAAGAAAAGACUAAUGGAUUAACAUCUCCAUUGUGUGACAUUUUCUU
rnacentral:lncRNA from 1 species